GGGAACGUGGCUCAGUGGUAGAGUGUUUGCCUUGCAUGCAUGAGUCCUUGGGUUCGAUUCCUCAGCCCCA
rfam:Dipodomys ordii contig_32058, whole genome shotgun sequence.